rnacentral:rRNA from 1 species
CAUCCCGAACUCAGAAGUGAAACGAAACAGCGUCGAUGGUAGUGUGGGGUCUCCCCAUGUGAGAGUAGAACAUCGCCAGGCU